rnacentral:rRNA from 1 species
CAGCCGCCGCGGUAAUACGUAGGGUGCGAGCGUUAAUCGGAACUACUGGGCGUAAAGCGUGCGCAGGCGGUUGUGUAAGACAGGUGUGAAAUCCCCGGGCUUAACCUGGGAACUGCGCUUGUGACUGCACAGCUAGAGUAUGGCAGAGGGGGGUGGAAUUCCACGUGUAGCAGUGAAAUGCGUAGAGAUGUGGAGGAACACCGAUGGCGAAGGCAGCCCCCUGGGCCAAUACUGACGCUCAUGCACGAAAGCGUGGGGAGCAAACAGGAUUAGAGACCCCUGUAGUCCCUGUCUCUUAUAC